AUUGAACGCUGGCGGCAGGCUUAACACAUGCAAGUCGAGCGGAGUGAUGGUGCUUGCACUAUCACUUAGCGGCGGACGGGUGAGUAAUGCUUAGGAAUCUGCCUAAUAGUGGGGGACAACAUCUCGAAAGGGAUGCUAAUACCGCAUACGUCCUACGGGAGAAAGCAGGGGAUCACUUGUGACCUUGCGCUAAUAGAUGAGCCUAAGUCGGAUUAGUUAGUUGGUGGGGUAAAGGCCUACCAAGGCGACGAUCUGUAGCGGGUCUGAGAGGAUGAUCCGCCACACUGGGACUGAGACACGGCCCAGACUCCUACGGGAGGCAGCAGUGGGGAAUAUUGGACAAUGGGGGGAACCCUGAUCCAGCCAUGCCGCGUGUGUGAAGAAGGCCUUACGGUUGUAAAGCACUUUAAGCGAGGAGGAGGCUCUUUUGGUUAAUACCCAAGAUGAGUGGACGUUACUCGCAGAAUAAGCACCGGCUAACUCUGUGCCAGCCGCCGCCGUAA
rnacentral:rRNA from 1 species